rnacentral:lncRNA from 1 species
UUCCUUUUUUUUUUCAAUGCUUUUAAAUCCCCUUCCCUCUGUGGGACAGAGGUACCAGGGUGGCUGAGGGCAAGCAGGGUUCAGAGCCCCCUGGCACGAACUGUUCUGACACCAGGCUUCAAGUUGGGGCUGGCGUUUGAGAGUCCUUGGGCAGGGGGAGUGAUCUGGCCCUACGCCCAGUCCUCUUCCCAGAAGACUCACGGAGGACUUGGUCCCAUCCUAAGGGCAUUGCGUGCCAAGGACCCAGGCCCUGAGAAAUGGGCCGUGAUCCCAACUGUCGGGCAUGAGAAGAGACUUAAGUGGCCACAUCACAGAGACAGUCUCAACUUUGUCAUCUGAAUGUUUUCUUUCCAAGUUGAUGUUUUUCUUGGAGGUUGGCCUUGAAUUUAUUAUAUUCCAGGUAGAUUUUUUUCCUCAUUCCUGGUGGCCUCGUCACUGCGGCUGCUUCCUUGAUCAAUUCCAGUUGAAUGGCCUGUCAGGGAAAUGCUCACCUCAGCCUGUCUCUGCCCUACCCUAGAAUCUCUCCUGUAUGUACAGACAUUCUCUUCAAACUCUUGUGUGGCUUUCCUCUCAUGUGGCUUUCUAUUGCUGUGGAAAAAAAAAAAAA